rnacentral:rRNA from 1 species
GACGAACCGUCUGAACGUUAUUCGGAAUCACUGGGCUUAAAGGGUGCGUAGGCGGCGCGGAAAGUUGGGUGUGAAAUCCCUCGGCUUAACCGAGGAACGGCGCCCAAAACUACCGUGCUCGAGGGAGAUAGAGGUGAGCGGAACUUAGGGUGGAGCGGUGAAAUGCGUUGAUAUCCUAAGGAACACCGGUGGCGAAAGCGGCUCACUGGAUCUCUUCUGACGCUGAUGCACGAAAGCUAGGGUAGCGAACGGG